AACGUAGGGGACAAACGUUAUCCGGAGUUACUGGGCGUAAAGGGCGUGCAGGUGGUCUGUUAAGUCUGGCGUGAAAGCUCCUGGCUAAACCGGGAGAGGUCGUUGGAUACUGGCGGACUAGAGGACGGUAGAGGCGUGUGGAAUUCCGGGUGUAGUGGUGAAAUGCGUAGAUAUUGGGAAGAACACCUGAGGCGAAGGCGGGCUACUGGGCUGAUACUGACGCUGAUGCGCGAAAGCCAGGGGAGCAAACGGG
rnacentral:rRNA from 1 species